AUACCAGCUCUCCGAGUGGUGUGGAUGUUUAUUGGGCCUAAAGCAUCCGUAGCUGGCUAGGUCAGUCCUUUGUUAAAUCCACCGAAUUAAUCGUUGGAUUGCGGGGGAUACUGCUUGGCUAGGGGACGAGAGAGGCAGACGGUAUUUCCGGGGUAGGGGUGAAAUCCUAUAAUCCCGGGAAGACCACCAGUGGCGAAGGCUGUCUGCUAGAACGCGCCCGACGGUGAGGGAUGAAAGCUGGGGGAGCGAACCGGAUUAGAUACCCGGGUAGUCCCAGCUGUAAACGAUGCAGGCUAGGUGUUUGGACGGCAACGUGCCGUUCUAGUGCCGCAGGGAAGCUGUUAAGCCUGCCGCCUGGGGAGUACGAUCGCAAGAUUGAA
rnacentral:rRNA from 1 species